rnacentral:pre_miRNA from 1 species
UCUUUAUCUCACGAGCUCUCUCACCGGUCAGAGAGGCCGAGAGAGUGUGUGAAAUGAAGAGA